GAUGAACGCUAGCUACAGGCUUAACACAUGCAAGUCGAGGGGUAACAUUGGCUUGAGCUUUGCUCAGCCUAGAUGACGACCGGCGCACGGGUGAGUAACGCGUGGGUAACCUGCCCUAUACAGGGGGAUAACAGUUGGAAACGACUGCUAAUACCGCAUAAGCGCACAGUAUCGCAUGAUACGGUGUGAAAAGCUCCGACGGUAUAGGAUGGGCCCGCGUCUGAUUAGCUAGUUGGCAGGGUAAUGGCCUACCAAGGCGACGAUCAGUAGCCGACCUGAGAGGGUGACCGGCCACAUUGGGACUGAGACACGGCCCAAACUCC
rnacentral:rRNA from 1 species